rnacentral:misc_RNA from 1 species
CGGUGGUCAAUCUUGAAAAUACACAAAACAUCCAAAUUUGCCUCAUCAGGUAUCUAUUUCAAAGCUACUUUCGUGCAUGAAUCCUUUCUCCUUUGAAAUGGUUCUUUCAAGUUCACUAACGAUAAAAGACAUUGUAGGUCUCAUAAUCGGGGUCUGCUUGAUGCAUUUUAUGGCUAGAUCCAAAAUAACCUUAGCCUGAUCUUGAUUAUCACUUGGAAUUUUUAAUUUUUUAUCGAUCAACUCCAAAGUCAUUUUCUUUUCAUGAAAAGAUAUAGCCUUGUGUACUAAAAGUUGCAUUUUGUGGUUUGACAUAGACAUACACUCUUCCCCACUAACAAUUUCAAGCAUGACCACCCCAAAGUUGUAAACAUCAGCUUGAACUGUUACAGGAAAUCCAUAUAAACACUCGGGUGCCAUAUAUUGUCUUCCUUCAUUUGUGUUGAAUGGCAUAAAUGGAUCGACCUCAUAAACUGUAGCGAAUCCAAAAUCAGCUAAUUUAGCCGCAUAGGUUUUAUCAAGUAUAAUAUUAUUGGAUUUUACAUUUCCAUGAACAAUUUUCAACUUUCUUUUCUCUUCUUUAUUUUCUUUCCAUUUUGUUUCUUUUUCCUCUUUUUUUUCCCCAUUCUUAUAUAAAAACUUCAAAUUUUUUGCUGUAAUUCCCAACCACAUGUCAAAUCUAUUUUUCCAACCAAGUUUUAUUCCUUUCCUUUCUUUUUCUUUCUCUUCUUUUCCUUUCACUUCUCUUUCCUCCCCUUCAUGUAGAUACUUCAAACCGUUUGCUAUUCCCAAGCAGAUCUCAAGUCUAUCCUUCCAACCAAGUGUUUUGUUUGACACGAACAGGUCAUGAUGAAGGGAGGGCUUUUCCAAAUCUUCAUAUAUUAGCAGAUGUAGGUUCUUCUUAGAAUAGCCAUCCAAUAGUUUAACUAGGUUGUUAUGUCUCAAGGAUAACAAGUUUGUAAUUUCCUUUUGUAGUUCCACUUUUUCUUGCUGCUUUAAUUCAGGAGAUAUCUUUUUCACUGUUAAUUUGAUCUGAUUUGGCAGUUUAGCCUUGUAUAAUUUCCCAAAACGGUCUUCACCAAUCACCAUUCUAGGGCUAAAAUUUCGAGUAGCGUUUAUUAUCUGCCUUAGGGUAAACUUUUUGUCUUCAACCUGUAUUAUUUUUUCAUCCAACUCGUUCUUUCCUAACCAGCCCAUUUUCCUCAUGACAAACAAUACAAGUAAGAAAGUAAAAGCUGAACCCAGUGUAAACCCUGCUAUUUUCACUGGAGAUAGUUUCUUGUUAUGAUUACUUGGAAUCACAGAAAUGGCUGACAAAAGAGGUCC